UGAGGGUGAUAAUUAGCCGUGUUAAAAUUAUGUAGCUUUGCAAGUAGGAGCCUGUUUACUAACAUGUUGGGCUACAUGAAAGAUAGAUGGAGAUUUAUAGACAUCUAAUAGAGGAGACAUACUUUCUAUUGCUUGAGAGAAUAUUCUAAAUUACAUCUCUUAUGUGUUAGAUUGAAACCCGGCCUAUCAAUUUAGGAAAAUAUUUUAUCAAUAUUUUAAUAUAUAACAUGUAUA
rnacentral:lncRNA from 1 species